rnacentral:rRNA from 1 species
ACUUAAAUUGAAGAGUUUGAUCAUGGCUCAGAUUGAACGCUGGCGGCAGGCCUAACACAUGCAAGUCGAGCGGUAGCACAGAGAGCUUGCUCUCGGGUGACGAGCGGCGGACGGGUGAGUAAUGUCUGGGAAACUGCCUGAUGGAGGGGGAUAACUACUGGAAACGGUAGCUAAUACCGCAUAAUGUCGUAAGACAAAGUGGGGGACCUUCGGGCCUCAUGCCAUCAGAUGUGCCCAGAUGGGAUUAGCUAGUAGGUGGGGUAACGGCUCACCUAGGCGACGAUCCCUAGCUGGUCUGAGAGGAUGACCAGCCACACUGGAACUGAGACACGGUCCAGACUCCUACGGGAGGCAGCAGUGGGGAAUAUUGCACAAUGGGCGCAAGCCUGAUGCAGCCAUGCCGCGUGUGUGAAGAAGGCCUUCGGGUUGUAAAGCACUUUCAGCGGGGAGGAAGGCG